UACGAAGGGGGCUAGCGUUGUUCGGAAUCACUGGGCGUAAAGGGCGCGUAGGCGGCUAUUCAAGUCGGGGGGUGAAAGCCUGUGGCUCAACCACAGAAUUGCCUUCGAUACUGUUUGGCUUGAGACCGGAAGAGGACAGCGGAACUGCGAGUGUAGAGGUGAAAUUCGUAGAUAUUCGCAAGAACACCAGUGGCGAAGGCGGCUGUCUGGUCCGGUUCUGACGCUGAGGCGCGAAAGCGUGGGGAGCAAACAGG
rnacentral:rRNA from 1 species